CACAGUUCUCUUGAGGAUUUAUGAGUCUGAUGCCAAAACAUUGAGAUUACGCACAGAGGGACCUACCCUUCAAGAAGAUAUGUUUGUGAAUCUCUGUGCAUUUCUUCAUACACCUUGAGACAAGAAGAGGGAGUUAGAUGCUCUGAUGUUGGAGUUAUCCAUGACUGCGUCAUCUGUGAGAGCAUGGCAACUGAACUGGGUGCUCUGUAAGAUCAGAGAUUACCCUAGCCUCCUUGUGACAUCAUGGGCCAUGAGCUGGAUGUGAUUUCAUUAUCUACAAGUGACUGGAACCUGAUUUCACCAGAAUAAAAGUAUCUUGUAACCAAAACCACUGGAAUGCUCUGUGAUUAGCUGGGG